GACAGAGGGGGCAAGCGUUGUCCGGAAUCAUUGGGCGUAAAGAGCGUGUAGGCGGCUCGGUAAGUCCGCUCUGAAAGCCCGGGGCUCAACCCCGGGAGGCGGGCGGAUACUGUCGGGCUAGAGUCCGGAAGAGGCGAGUGGAAUUCCUGGUGUAGCGGUGAAAUGCGCAGAUAUCAGGAGGAACACCAAUGGCGAAGGCAGCUCGCUGGGACGGUACUGACGCUGAGACGCGAAAGCGUGGGGAGCAAACAGG
rnacentral:rRNA from 1 species